rnacentral:miRNA from 1 species
UAGAGAAAAGUUUCUAAUUACC